rnacentral:ncRNA from 1 species
UUCCGGUCGCCAUCACGUGCGACCCCGGACGAGACGCGCCGUACCCGGUCUGCCAAGACGACGCGCA